UCCGUAGGUGAACCUGCGGAAGGAUCAUUACAGAAAUAGGAGAAGGUUGCUUAACUGCAAUCCUUUUCUUUCUACACAUGUGUUUUUCUUUUUUUUGAAAACUUUGCUUCGGCGGGCCCACGGCCUGCCAGAGAUUAAACUCAACCAAAUUUUUAUCUAAUUGUCAACUUGAUUAACUAAUAGUCAAAACCUUCAACAACGGAUCUCUUGGUUCUCGCAUCGAUGAAGAACGCAGCGAAAUGCGAUAAGUAAUACGAAUUGCAGAUAUUCGUGAAUCAUCGAAUCUUUGAACGCACAUUGCGCCCUUUGGUAUUCCAAAGGGCAUGCCUGUUCGAGCGUCAUUUCUCCCUCAAACCUUCGGGUUUGGUGUUGAGCGAUACGCUGGGUUUGCAUGAAAGAAAGGUGGAGUAUAAACUAAUGGAUAGGUUUUUUUUUCCACUCAUUGGUACAAACUCCAAACAUUCUUCCAAAUUCGAUCCUAAAUCAGGUAGGACUACCCGCUGAACUUAAGCAUAUCAAUAAGCGGAGGA
rnacentral:rRNA from 1 species